rnacentral:rRNA from 1 species
UACGUAGGGUGCAAGCGUUGUCCGGAAUUAUUGGGCGUAAAGAGCUCGUAGGCGGUUUGUUGCGUCGGCUGUGAAAUCCCGAGGCUCAACCUCGGGUCUGCAGUCGAUACGAGCAAACUAGAGUGUUGCAGGGGAGACUGGAAUUCCUGGUGUAGCGGUGAAAUGCGCAGAUAUCAGGAGGAACACCGGUGGCGAAGGCGGGUCACUGGACCGGUACUGACGCUGAUGCGCGAAAGCGUGGGGAGCAAACGGG